rnacentral:tRNA from 1 species
CACUAGGAAGCUAAAUCGGACCCAGCGUCAGCCUUUUAAGCUGAAAAUUGGUGACCUCCAACCACCCCUAGUGA